ensembl:lncRNA
GAUACAAGUGCUCAAAAUUAGGAUGCAGCAGGGAUAGCUUUUUAACAAAACAGUUAGCUAUCUGAGAGAGGUUGUCAGUAUAAGUACUGGUACUUACAGAAAUGGUACAUUGUAUGGCGUUGGUGUUUUGUACUAGUUUAAAAUAGGCUUGCCAACCUGACACGGUGCUUCUCUUAGCCUAGGCUAUCUUUAAGUUCAGUUCGAUUUCUCCUCCAAGAGCUCUUGCUACCGCUGCAUUCUUACACAGGCUAGACUAAUUGCAGAUUGACCGUUUCGCCAUUGGUUUGGUAAUGCAGAAAGUCCUGAAGCAUCUGAAGUUUGUAUAGAAGAAGCGUUUACUCCUAUAUUCCCUAAUAAUUGUUCAAGUACACUCCGCACAGACAAAAGUAAGUAGGAUUUAUAGCUAUUUCCCAACUCCCCACAGCAUUUUAGGAUACAUACGCACUAAACUGUAUGGUGAAAUUGUGUAUUUUGACAUUUCGCAUCUGAAAAUACAGUGAUACGACCAGAGCUAAUUCUGAAACAAAAAGAUAAGGAUCAAGGAUUGUUUAAAUAUUUUAUUAUAAAUGAUUAACAAAUAAUUUGCCUUUGCGAAGACAAAUUGAGAUAUUGUUGAGAUAUUGUAUUGUAUUUUACGAUCACAUUCCUGUACCUUGACCACAUGCUUGGCCAGUAUGCAGCCAGCUGACUGCCUGUAAGAGCCCCGUGUUGCUGAAACACCGUAGGCAUAUGCCACCAGCACAGCGCGACGAAAGUGCCGUCAUUUAGCAAUUUGUGAUCCCAUUAGUGGCCACUGUAGAACUACGUGUGUUUUUUUUCUUGCCUGGUGACUGUCCUAAAUUUUCUAAUGAGUCAUUUUGUGACGCCAGUACAGGCAAUAAACUGUGUGUAACUGGUCAGAUUUAAUUUGACCUGACAUUUGUUUUAAAAAAAAGUUUUUAUAGCUGAGAUAAGCGAUAAUUCUACAAUAACCUACAAACAACACUCUGAUAUCUUUCACAGAAAUAACUAAAUUAAUGAAUAAUGAAAUAAUGAAUUGAAUAAAUAAAUAAGGUAAUAAACAAACCUCACUUAGGACUUUGCAAUCAGCAAGUACAAAUGUCAGCCUAGUAUAAUUGUUUGAACCAAUAAUGAGAUGGCUUUAACUUACUGCAUUUCGAAGAGAUAGACUACCAGGUGACUCAACCUGUCAGAGGUGAGUAAGAACUGAUACAAUUGGACACAGUUGCUUUAACAGCAGUAUUAUGUUGUGUUGUGUAUUCAUGGAAAGAAUCCUUCAGCCACCAGAAUGG